AUGGGGUUACCAAAGAAAUCUCAAGUGGAAACCGGGUUAGAAAAUUCAGAGAAAAAUAAAAAAUGGCUCAUCAAUUUAAGAACACCUUUGAAUUUGAAGCCAAUAUACACAAUUCCUUUGAAGAUAAGUGAACAAGAGGAAAGUAUCAUGGAGGAAGAGUGUUCAACAACACCAAGAGGGGAAGGAUCAAGAAUUCCAACAUGUUUGAUAUGUCCACCAGCUCCGAGGAAGCGAAAAUCGUCUUUGAAACGGAAUUAUCGCGGUAAAACAAGAGAGUUUUUCAAUCCACCUGAGUUAGAAACUGUGUUCAUACGCCAUGUUGAAAGAGCUGUAGCUAAUUGA